GAUUGCUGUGACGUUGGGUGGUUCGCCGCCUCCGAUACUGCAAGAAGUCCAUUGAACCUUAUCAUUUAGAGGAAGGAGAAGUCGUAACAAGGUUUCCGUAGGUGAACCUGCGGAAGGAUCAUUG
rnacentral:rRNA from 2 species